rnacentral:rRNA from 1 species
AUUGUAAGUAAAUAUUAAUUAUGAAAGCAAAAAAUUAUGGCGGUAUUUUAAGCUUUUCAGAGGAAUUUGCUCUUUAAUGGAUAAAACACCUAAAUCUUACUUAAAUUUGUCAAUUCAAUUUGUAUACCACUAUGUAAUUAAUUAUUAACUUUAAUUAAUAAAAUUUAUAAAAAUUAAAAAAAAUUAAGUCAAGGUGCAGUAAAAAUUUAAGGAUGAAGUGAAUUACAUUUCUUUUAAGAGAUUAUAAAUUUUAAAAUUAGUUUUAGGAUUUGAAAGUAAAAUUAAAAUAAAAUGUUAAUUUGAAUCAAGCUCUAAAAUAUGUAC